rnacentral:rRNA from 1 species
UACGUAGGCAGCGAGCGUUGUUCGGAAUUACUGGGCGUAAAGAGUGUGUAGGCGGUGCUCCCAGUCUGUUGUGAAAUCUCCCGGCUUAACUGGGAGGGUGCAGCGGAAACUAGAGUGCUAGAGGGUGGGAGAGGUAAGCGGAAUUCCUGGUGUAGCGGUGAAAUGCGUAGAGAUCAGGAGGAACACCCGUGGCGAAGGCGGCCCUCUGGCUCGACCCUGACGCUGAGACACGAAAGCGUGGGUAGCAAACAGG